rnacentral:rRNA from 1 species
GUAGGGAAUAUUGGGCAAUGGAGGCAACUCUGACCCAGCCAUGCCGCGUGCAGGAUGACGGCCCUCUGGGUUGUAAACUGCUUUUAUACGGGAAGAAAAAAUACUACGUGUAGUAUACUGACGGUACCGUAAGAAUAAGGAUCGGCUAACUCCGUGCCAGCAGCCGCGGUAAUACGGAGGAUCCAAGCGUUGUCCGGAUUUAUUGGGUUUAAAGGGUGCGUAGGCGGAUCUUUAAGUCAGUGGUGAAAGCCUGCAGCUUAACUGUAGAAUUGCCAUUGAAACUGAAGAUCUUGAAUGUGGUUAAAGUAGGCGGAAUGUAUCAUGUAGCGGUGAAAUGCUUAGAUAUGAUACAGAACGCCGAUAGCGAAGGCAGCUUGCUGAACCAUUAUUGACGCUGAGGCACGAAAGCGUGGGGAGCGAACAGGAUUAGAAACCCGAGUAGUCC